CUAUCCUGUCCUACUGCAGGGAAUAACUGCAGCACUAAGAGAAUGAAUCAAUGAGAAACGCGAGCAGGACUCGCAUGCCUCGGCGGCGCGGCCCGAACCAAAUGUUUACGACUACAUCGAGCUCCAAUGGGGGUCUGUCCAAAUCCUGAUAAAUCUCAAGAAGAACUUUGCACUGGAGACUCUACUUGCAAAAAAAAGUGCUUGGGCCCCGCAAAUCGCAGUUUCAGGAAACUUCCAGGCCGUAGCACCUGCUCAGAUAUUUUGCCACAGAAAGGUACAACAAACGAUCUGACUGCUCCAUAACAACUCAAAAUUCAACUCAACUCAAACUUCGCACUGUUAC